GCGUCGGUGGCAGAGUGGUCAAAUGCAGCGGACUGUAAAUCCGCCGGGCGUGCCCUACGCAGGUUCGAAUCCUGCCCGGCGCA
rnacentral:tRNA from 2 species